rnacentral:rRNA from 1 species
UACGUAGGGGGCAAGCGUUGUCCGGAUUUAUUGGGCGUAAAGAGCGUGUAGGCGGCUUGGUAGGUCCGCUGUGAAAACUCGAGGCUCAACCUCGAGAUGUCGGCGGAAACCACUUGGCUAGAGUCCGGAAGAGGAGAGUGGAAUUCCCGGUGUAGCGGUGAAAUGCGCAGAUAUCGGGAAGAACACCUAUGGCGAAGGCAGCUCUCUGGGUCGGUACUGACGCUGAGACGCGAAAGCGUGGGGAGCGAACAGG